rnacentral:rRNA from 1 species
AGAACGAACGCUGGCGGCGUGGAUAAGACAUGCAAGUCGAACGGGUUUAGUUUCGGAGCAAUUCGGAAUUAGGCCAGUGGCGAACGGGUGCGUAACACGUGAGUCAUCUGCCUGAAAGUGGGGGAUAGCUCGCCGAAAGGCGAAUUAAUACCGCAUGUGGUUGUAAGACCAAAGCCGGGGCAACCUGGCGCUUUUAGAGGAACUCGCGGCCUAUCAGCUUGUUGGUGAGGUAACGGCUUACCAAGGCUUCGACGGGUAGCUGGUCUGAGAGGACGACCAGCCACACUGGAACUGAGACACGGUCCAGACACCUACGGGUGGCAGCAGUCGAGAAUUUUUCUCAAUGGGGGAAACCCUGAAGGAGCGACGCCGCGUGGAGGAUGAAUGCUUUCGGGUUGUAAACUCCUGUCAUUUGGGAACAAGCCUUACGUUAACUGCGUGGAGGUUUGAUAGUACCGAAAGAGGAAGAGACGGCUAACUCUGCGCCAGCAGCCGCGGU